rnacentral:lncRNA from 1 species
GCGGCCCGGAGGCGAUCUGUGCGCGAGGAGGCGCUGUGAAGACUGAGGCACAGCCCCUCCGAGGAAAGCCGAGAUUGUACGUUUCCUUGCCGGCUGAGCCGCGGCUCGUCCCCCGGAGCGACACAAAGAAGAAGUGGCCUUGCAUCCUGCUCCGCCUCCCGAGCCGGGUCCUUGGUCCCCGGAAGCCCUGGGCUGCCCCACUGGAGUUACCUUCUGUGCGUUCUCUCCUAAACCUACACGUUAUUCACGACUUUGUUCAUGACUAUGGAAAACAAAACAAAAACAAAAACCAAACCAAAGUUCCCUCGCCUGGCGAUGGUGCAAGCCUGUCUACCUGCUGGAGGAUGGUUGGAAUGUGCACACCUGGCUCGACCAAAAGAGGCACAGCUUAGGGGCGGCUUGGACCCAGCUCAAGUCUGGACUUGGCAGCUUUCCUGAGCCUGCCUAGGAAAGCAGGCUGGAGUGCAGGUGUCCCAGGGCUCUCUGGAGGAGCAGCAGCAACACCAUGCCUGGCUCUGGUGCCUUGGUCUCCUCGGAGAGGACGCUUGAAGGAAUGGCACUCAGCAGAGUACAGGCCCCGUAACAGUGCAGCGCAGCGACAUCCGCUGAGGACUGGACAGAAUGGUCCUGAUGCUUGGCAGUGAUCCGUACUUGGAUAACCCUCUGCAUGAAAGGGCAGUGAGCCAGGAACCUCAAGCCACCCGGGAGCAGGUGCCUACUUGGCGUUUUCUGAGACGAAAGGCAGCGGAGUGUGUAGCAAAGGUGGCGCUGGCUCUUGCUGCUUCUGAAGCUCCAUCUCGGCAGCCCUCUGCAGCGCCACCUCCACCAGCAACUGGAAGCUGCUGAAGUCAUCCUUGUCCUGCUCUGGGGGUGUGGGUGGUGGCGUAUUGAAGAGUCCACCCGUGGGGCUUCCAGCCUCUGCCCUAGUCAGCAGGGGUCACUGUAAAGCUCUGGCUGUUCUGGAACUCACUAUGUAGACCAAGGUGGCCUCAAAUGCUUCUUCUCCCUGAUUCCCAGGAUUAAAGCCACCAUGCUUGGGCUGGAGAGAUGGCUCACUGAUGUAAGAGCACUGAUUGCUCUUCCAGAGGUCCUGAGUUCAAAUCCCAGCAACCACGUGGUGGCUCACAACCAUCUAUAAAAAGGAUCUGAUGCCCUCUUCUGGUGUCUGAAGACAGCUACAGUGUACUCAUAUAAAUAAAAUAAAACUUAAAAAAUAAAAAAGCC